rnacentral:tRNA from 1 species
UACCCUGAAAAUGUCGGUUCAAACCCCUCCUUUACCAA